rnacentral:sRNA from 1 species
GCAUUGAGUGAUGCCAUGCGAACGGUUCUUCCGAUCAACCGGAAGGGCCGUUUUUUUUGCUGC